UACGAAGGGGACUAGCGUUGUUCGGAAUUACUGGGCGUAAAGCGCACGUAGGCGGAUUUGUAAGUCAGGGGUGAAAUCCCGGGGCUCAACCUCGGAACUGCCUUUGAUACUGCAAAUCUCGAGUCCGAUAGAGGUGGGUGGAAUUCCUAGUGUAGAGGUGAAAUUCGUAGAUAUUAGGAAGAACACCGGUGGCGAAGGCGGCCCACUGGAUCGGUACUGACGCUGAGGUGCGAAAGCGUGGGGAUCAAACAGG
rnacentral:rRNA from 1 species